AACGAACGCUGGCGGCAGGCCUAACACAUGCAAGUCGAACGAAGUCUUCGGACUUAGUGGCGCACGGGUGAGUAACACGUGGGAAUAUACCCUACGCUGGGGGAUAACAUCGGGAAACUGAUGCUAAUACCGCAUACGCCCUUCGGCGGAACGAUUUAUUGGCGAAAGAUUAGCCAGCGUCCGAUUAGCUAGUUGGUGAGGUAAUGGCUCACCAAGGCUCCGAUCGGUAACUUGGUAGAGAGGAUGACGAGCCACACCCGGACUGAGACACGGCCCAGAAACCUACGGGAGUGAGCGGUAGGGAAUAGGAGCCACUGGGCGUAAGUCUUGACGAGCCAUGGAGCGUGAAUGUUUAAUGCCUUGGGGUUGUAAAGCUCUAUCUACCAGGACGCUGAUGGCGGUAGUGUGAGAAGAAGCCCCGGCUAACUUCGUG
rnacentral:rRNA from 1 species